UACGUAGGAGGCGAGCGUUGUCCGGAAUUAUUGGGCGUAAAGAGCGUGUAGGCGGUCCGGUAAGUCAGCUGUGAAAGUCAAGGGCUCAACCCUUGAAUGCCGGUUGAUACUGUCGGGCUAGAGUCCGGAAGAGGCGAGUGGAAUUCCCGGUGUAGCGGUGAAAUGCGCAGAUAUCGGGAGGAACACCAAUGGCGAAGGCAGCUCGCUGGGACGGUACUGACGCUGAGACGCGAAAGCGUGGGGAGCAAACAGG
rnacentral:rRNA from 1 species